rnacentral:rRNA from 1 species
AUUGAACGCUGGCGGCAUGCUUUACACAUGCAAGUCGAACGGCAGCGGGGGCUUCGGCCCGCCGGCGAGUGGCGAACGGGUGAGUAAUGCAUCGGAACGUGCCCAGUCGUGGGGGAUAACACAUCGAAAGAUGUGCUAAUACCGCAUACGUCCUGAGGGAGAAAGCGGGGGAUCUUCGGACCUCGCGCGAUUGGAGCGGCCGAUGUCGGAUUAGCUAGUUGGUGGGGUAAAGGCCCACCAAGGCGACGAUCCGUAGCGGGUCUGAGAGGAUGAUCCGCCACACUGGGACUGAGACACGGCCCAGACUCCUACGGGAGGCAGCAGUGGGGAAUUUUGGACAAUGGGGGCAACCCUGAUCCAGCCAUGCCGCGUGAGUGAAGAAGGC